rnacentral:rRNA from 1 species
UACGGGGGGGGCAAGCGUUGUUCGGAAUUACUGGGCGUAAAGGGCUCGUAGGCGGCCAACUAAGUCAGACGUGAAAUCCCUCGGCUUAACCGGGGAACUGCGUCUGAUACUGGAUGGCUUGAGGUUGGGAGAGGGAUACGGAAUUCCAGGUGUAGCGGUGAAAUGCGUAGAUAUCUGGAGGAACACCGGUGGCGAAGGCGGCAUCCUGGACCAAUUCUGACGCUGAGGAGCGAAAGCCAGGGGAGCAAACGGG